UCAGUAGGAAAAUUUUGAUUGGAAAUCGAAGAAAGAAUUAACGGAAAGGCCUCAGUAAAAAAAUUUCGAUAGGAAAUUAAAGAUUUUGUCUAUGUUCGCUAAAAUGGACUUCAUUUGUUUGAACAAUAAAUGGCUGAAAUUCAAAAAAGGCCUCGUCGGGACUUCGCCCGACUAAGGCAAAAGGCCCUUCGGGAAUCGCCCGAACGCCCAGUAUGGCCAGUCCGGGCCUGGAGCUAAGUAAUUCAAAU